rfam:Selenihalanaerobacter shriftii strain ATCC BAA-73 genome assembly, contig: EI55DRAFT_scaffold00025.25
CUAAGUACAGAGAAGAUAAGCGCUGAAAGCAUCUAAGCGCGAAGCAAAUCCCAAGAUAAGGUUUCCCAUAGAGUAAUUCUAGUAAGAUCCCUGAAAGACUAUCAGGUAGAUAGGCCAGAGGUGUACAGAUAGCAAUAUCUUUAGCUGACUGGUACUAAUAGAUCGAGGAUUUGAUCUA